GGAAGGAAAGGGGCGGGGCGCAGGAGGGGUCAGAUGCGUCAGGACACAGCACACACAUGCACACAACCCAUGCACACUGCACACGCAUGCACAAUGUAUGGGGUGCUGGGAGGAGCGGCCACCACUUCAAAGACACUAUGAGGACCAUCCAAGACACCAGCCAGUGAGCUCCGUCGAUGGAGGCCCGAGGAGCCCUGGGUCAUGAAGCUGGGAGCCUCAAGUGUCUUUGUACACCAGGGUCCCUCCAAUGUCACCACUUGUGUGACAUCAAGGAGCGACCCAGCAGACAUUCCGAAGCUGGUAUAACCCUGAGCUGGGGCUGCAGGGGUUAAUGGAUUACAGGAGUUGGGGUCACUUGCACACAAGGCUCUGAGCAGGGGAGGACUGGGGUGGGAGGAGACGGGGAUUGAAAGCCAACCAACUGGCCCAAAGCCUCAAAAGCAGCCAACCCUGGAGAAGCAGAGGGAGGUAUCAAAUGGUCCAAUCAGAAUAGACAUCUGAAAGAAACCAAUCAUGGUGGGCUAUGAGAACUGGAUUGGGAGUGGGCCAAUCAGAGCAGGCGCAGAGGGCACGCGCGGCACCAAUUAGAGUGCUUGCCUCCCGCAAACGCUGACCACCACCUGGGUUUGGGACGCACAGCGCAGAGAGGCCAUGGCCUGGCAGCCCCCACUGCGGCUGAAGAGCCAUGGAGGACCAGAAGAAAUGGAUUAGAGGGCAAGCAACAUCAGAGAGCAGAUGGAAGCUAUGUCCCGGCCACACCCCUCGCCUUCUGCAGAUCCUCCAUCCCACCCUUCACCCUGUCUACCUCCUGAUCAGUCCCUCACCCCCUGCCUGGACCCUACCCUCCUUCUGCCCUCCAUCUGUGCCCCCUCUCCCACCCUCUUCCUUAAGCCUCCUCCACCCUGGCCCUGUGAAGAGAGGUAAGUCCAGUAUGCAAGCUGAAAUCAUGAAGAAACGGAAACACCAGUUAGCAAAACCUACAGAGGGUAGAAAAAAAAAUCAGCUGACGGCAAGAAGGGAGGAAGACAGAGCAGUUAUCCAAGAGUGCCCAAGCGCCCUGCUGCGACCUCCCUGGAACUGUCAAUAACCUCCUGGUUCCGACUGUCUGAACCGAUGUUACUACCCUCCUCCUCCCGUUCCUUUUUUGAGACAGGGUCUCAUGGAGCUCAGGCUGUCCUUACAGUCUCUGUAAUUCUCCUACUUUCUGAGUGCUGAGGUCCCAGGCACGCAUCAUAUCUUCCACCCUGCCCUCCACGCUGGAGAAGGAAGCCCGGCUGGCCUUGCACAGCCUAGUCCCUUUUCCUGGGCCAGCACAGCCUAAGUAAACCAGGAGUAGCCCAGGGCAGGAGGACACAGCCUCCCCAGUAGAACAGAACUGCAAGACCCACCUGCAUGUCUGCAUUAGUGCCUGGAUGCUCUGGAAGAAGCCCACUUCCUUCUUGUCCUUCAGAUCCUGUGUCUGUUACCUGCUGUACUUCAGCGUUCCCUCCGUUGAGGAUGGAGAUGCCCAGCUUCAAGGUGGAGGACACCAUGGCCCCUGUCUCUCCUGGAGGUGGUGGAGAU